CGCUGGCGGCGUGCCUAAUACAUGCAAGUCAACGGUCUUUCUAUGGAAGCUUGCUUCACUGAAAGAUAGUGGCGAACGGGUGAGUAACACGUGGGUAACCUGCCCAUAAGAGGGGGAUAACAUCCGGAAACGGGUGCUAAUACCGCAUAGUUUUCUUGAUCGCAUGAUCGGAAAGGAAAGACGGCCUUUGUGCUGUCGCUUAUGGAUGGACCCGCGGCGUAUUAGUUAGUUGGUGAGGUAACGGCUCACCAAGACGAUGAUACGUAGCCGACCUGAGAGGGUGAUCGGCCACAUUGGGACUGAGACACGGCCCAAACUCCUACGGGAGGCAGCAGUAGGGAAUCUUCCGCAAUGGACGAAAGUCUGACGGAGCAACGCCGCGUGAGUGAAGAAAGGUUUUCGGAUCGUAAAACUCUGUUGUCAGAGAAGAACAAGUUGGAGAGUAACUGCUCCAGCCUUGACGGUAUCUGACCAGAAAGCCACGGCUAACUACGUGCCAGCCGCUGC
rnacentral:rRNA from 1 species